rnacentral:ncRNA from 1 species
GAAAAGGCAAACCACGUCGAAAGCGUGGGACGCAAAGCUUCCGGCCUUCCAAUUCAGAAUCGUCUGUUUUGUUGGUAGCGGAGUUACCGA